rnacentral:rRNA from 1 species
AACCAGCACCUCAAGUGGUCAGGAGGAUUAUUGGGCCUAAAGCAUCCGUAGCCGGCUCUGUAAGUUUUCGGUUAAAUCCAUGUGCUCAACGCAUGGGCUGCCGAAAAUACUGCACAGCUAGGGAGUGGGAGAGGUAGACGGUACUCAGUAGGAAGGGGUAAAAUCCUUUGAUCUAUUGAUGACCACCUGUGGCGAAGGCGGUCUACCAGAACACGUUCGACGGUGAGGGAUGAAAGCUGGGGGAGCAAACCGG